UGCGUAGGCGGGCUUGUAAGUCAGUGGUGAAAUACUGCCGCUCAACGGUAGAACUGCCAUUGAUACUGCAAGUCUUGAAUAUGGUUGAGGUAGGCGGAAUGUGUCGUGUAGCGGUGAAAUGCAUAGAUAUGACACAGAACUCCAAUUGCGAAGGCAGCUUACUAAGCCAUUACUGACGCUGAGGCACGAAAGCGUGGGGAGCGAACAGGAUUAGAUACCCUGGUAGUCC
rnacentral:rRNA from 1 species